UACGUAGGGUGCGAGCGUUAAUCGGAAUUACUGGGCGUAAAGCGUGCGCAGGCGGUUUUGUAAGACAGGUGUGAAAUCCCCGGGCUUAACCUGGGAACUGCGCUUGUGACUGCAAGACUCGAGUACGGCAGAGGGGGGUGGAAUUCCACGUGUAGCAGUGAAAUGCGUAGAGAUGUGGAGGAACACCGAUGGCGAAGGCAGCCCCCUGGGCUGAGAUUGACGCUCAGGCACGAAAGCGUGGGGAGCAAACAGG
rnacentral:rRNA from 1 species